UACGUAGGGUGCAAGCGUUGUCCGGAAUUAUUGGGCGUAAAGAGCUCGUAGGCGGUUUGUCGCGUCUGCUGUGAAAACCCGAGCUCAACCUCGGGCCUGCAGUGGGUACGGGCAGACUAGAGUGCGGUAGGGGAGAUUGGAAUUCCUGGUGUAGCGGUGAAAUGCGUAGAUAUCUGGAGGAACACCGGUGGCGAAGGCGGCGAUCCUGGACCGGCAUUGACGCUGAG
rnacentral:rRNA from 1 species